UACGUAGGGCGCAAGCGUUAUCCGGAAUUAUUGGGCGUAAAGAGCUCGUAGGCGGUUUGUCGCGUCUGACCGUGGAAAGUCCGGGGCCUCAACUCCGGAUCUGCGGUGGGUACGGGCAGACUAGAGUGGAUGUAGGGGAGAACUGGAAUUCCUGGUGUAGCGGUGAAAUGCGCAGAUAUCAGGAGGAACACCGAGUGGCGAAGGCAGGUCUCUGGGCAUUAACUGACGCUGAGGAGCGAAAGCAUGGGGAGCGAACAGGAUUAGACCGUACC
rnacentral:rRNA from 1 species